rnacentral:rRNA from 1 species
AUAAUGGGUCAGCGACUUAUAUUCUGUAGCAAGGUUAACCGUAUAGGGGAGCCGGAGGGAAACCGAGUCUUAACCGGGCGUUAAGUUGCAGGGUAUAGACCCGAAACCCGGUGAUCUAGCCAUGGGCAGGUUGAAGGUUGGGUAACACUAACUGGAGGACCGAACCGACUAAUGUUGAAAAAUUAGCGGAUGACCUGUGGCUGGGGGUGAAAGGCCAAUCAAACCGGGAGAUAGCUGGUUCUCCCCGAAAGCUAUUUAGGUAGCGCCUCGUGAAUUCAUCUCCGGGGGUAGAGCACUGUUUCGGCUAGGGGGCCAUCCCGGCUUACCAACCCGAUGCAAACUGCGAAUACCGGAGAAUGUUAUCACGGGAGACACACGGCGGGUGCUAACGUCCGUCGUGAAGAGGGAAACAACCCAGACCGCCAGCUAAGGUCCCAAAGUCAUGGUUAAGUGGGAAACGAUGUGGGAAGGCCCAGACAGCCAGGAUGUUGGCUUAGAAGCAGCCAUCAUUUAAAGAAAGCGUAAUAGCUCACUGGUCGAGUCGGCCUGCGCGGAAGAUGUAACGGGGCUAAACCAUGCACCGAAGCUGCGGCAGCGAACGUAUCACCCAAGACAACUUUACGGAGUUGACGAUUGACGGAGCGAAGCGACGUCAAAGCGUUCAUUAAAGUCGAGUUGGCUUAGGGAUACGUUCGUUGGGUAGGGGAGCGUUCUGUAAGCCUGUGAAGGUGUGUCGUGAGGCAUGCUGGAGGUAUCAGAAGUGCGAAUGCUGACAUAAGUAACGAUAAAGCGGGUGAAAAGCCCGCUCGCCGGAAGACCAAGGGUUCCUGUCCAACGUUAAUCGGGGCAGGGUGAGUCGACCCCUAAGGCGAGGCCGAAAGGCGUAGUCGAUGGGAAACGGGUUAAUAUUCCCGUACUUGGUGUUACUGCGAAGGGGGGACGGAGAAGGCUAUGUUGGCCGGGCGACGGUUGUCCCGGUUUAAGCGUGUAGGUGUGUGUUCCAGGUAAAUCCGGUUCACUUUAACACUGAGGCGUGACGACGAGGCACUACGGUGCUGAAGCAACAAAUGCCCUGCUUCCAGGAAAAGCCUCUAAGCAUCAGGUAACAUCAAAUCGUACCCCAAACCGACACAGGUGGUCAGGUAGAGAAUACCAAGGCGCUUGAGAGAACUCGGGUGAAGGAACUAGGCAAAAUGGUGCCGUAACUUCGGGAGAAGGCACGCUGACACGUAGGUGAAGUGAUUUACUCAUGGAGCUGAAGUCAGUCGAAGAUACCAGCUGGCUGCAACUGUUUAUUAAAAACACAGCACUGUGCAAACACGAAAGUGGACGUAUACGGUGUGACGCCUGCCCGGUGCCGGAAGGUUAAUUGAUGGGGUCAGCGCAAGCGAAGCUCCUGAUCGAAGCCCCGGUAAACGGCGGCCGUAACUAUAACGGUCCUAAGGUAGCGAAAUUCCUUGUCGGGUAAGUUCCGACCUGCACGAAUGGCGUAAUGAUGGCCAGGCUGUCUCCACCCGAGACUCAGUGAAAUUGAACUCGCUGUGAAGAUGCAGUGUACCCGCGGCAAGACGGAAAGACCCCGUGAACCUUUACUAUAGCUUGACACUGAACAUUGAGCCUUGAUGUGUAGGAUAGGUGGGAGGCUUUGAAGUGUGGACGCCAGUCUGCAUGGAGCCGACCUUGAAAUACCACCCUUUAAUGUUUGAUGUUCUAACGUGGACCCGUAAUCCGGGUUGCGGACAGUGUCUGGUGGGUAGUUUGACUGGGGCGGUCUCCUCCUAAAGAGUAACGGAGGAGCACGAAGGUUGGCUAAUCCUGGUCGGACAUCAGGAGGUUAGUGCAAUGGCAUAAGCCAGCUUGACUGCGAGCGUGACGGCGCGAGCAGGUGCGAAAGCAGGUCAUAGUGAUCCGGUGGUUCUGAAUGGAAGGGCCAUCGCUCAACGGAUAAAAGGUACUCCGGGGAUAACAGGCUGAUACCGCCCAAGAGUUCAUAUCGACGGCGGUGUUUGGCACCUCGAUGUCGGCUCAUCACAUCCUGGGGCUGAAGUAGGUCCCAAGGGUAUGGCUGUUCGCCAUUUAAAGUGGUACGCGAGCUGGGUUUAGAACGUCGUGAGACAGUUCGGUCCCUAUCUGCCGUGGGCGCUGGAGAACUGAGGGGGGCUGCUCCUAGUACGAGAGGACCGGAGUGGACGCAUCACUGGUGUUCGGGUUGUCAUGCCAAUGGCACUGCCCGGUAGCUAAAUGCGGAAGAGAUAAGUGCUGAAAGCAUCUAAGCACGAAACUUGCCCCGA